rnacentral:rRNA from 1 species
AUUGAACGCUGGCGGCAUGCCUUACACAUGCAAGUCGAACGGCAGCACGGGAGCAAUCCUGGUGGCGAGUGGCGAACGGGUGAGUAAUAUAUCGGAACGUGCCCAGUCGUGGGGAUAACGUAGCGAGAGCUACGCUAAUACCGCAUACGAUCUAUGGAUGAAAGCGGGGGAUCGCAAGACCUCGCGCGAUUGGAGCGGCCGAUAUCAGAUUAGGUAGUUGGUGAGGUAAAGGCUCACCAAGCCGACGAUCUGUAGCUGGUCUGAGAGGACGACCAGCCACACUGGGACUGAGACA